rnacentral:lncRNA from 1 species
CUCUGGUCACUCGAGGACAACUUCGUUUCUUUAUGUUUGCCUUACAUAUUAUACGAGAUACGCGAGGCUGCAGAUCAGGACUUCGCUCGUUCGUGAAACGUCUAUCCGCCUUGGUACUCGAUAGUAACUUUGCACUUUGGCUACGGUGUGUCUCGCUAUGGUUCUCUGGGCACUGACCACUGCCCCUUCUGAAGGAUCUACAUCUGCGUGCGCCAAUAUCACCUUAAAUGACACUCUGGACAUUGGAAGCUGCAUUGGCGGUAGACUGAACUAUUGCUCUUCAUCACUGCUCCCUGUGACCAAUUUGGUUACCGGUGUAACCACAAUGUUAAGGUACG